ACUGCUCAGUAACACGUGGAUAACCUGCCCUAAGGAAGGGGAUAACCUCGGGAAACUGAGGAUAAUACCCUAUAGGUUACAGACGCUGGAAUGCCCUGUAACCGAAAGUUCCGGCGCCUUAGGAUGGAUCUGCGGCCGAUUAGGUUGUUGUUGGGGUAACGGCCCAACAAGCCGAUAAUCGGUACGGGUUGUGGGAGCAAGAGCCCGGAGUUGGAUUCUGAGACAUGAAUCCAGGCCCUACGGGGCGCAGCAGGCGCGAAAACUUUACAAUGCGGGAAACCGUGAUAAGGGAACCCCGAGUGCCUGUAUAUGCAGGCUGUCCAGGUGUCUAAAAAACACCUGAAGAAAGGGCCGGGCAAGACCGGUGCCAGCCGCCGCGGUAAUACCGGCGGCUCGAGUGGUGGCCACUUUUAUUGGGCUUAAAGCGUUCGUAACUGGGUUGUUAAGUCUCUUGGGAAAUCUGACGGCUUAACCGUCAGGCGUCUAAGAGAUACUGGCAAUCUUGGAACCGGGAGAGGUGAGGGGUACUUCGGGGGUAGGAGUGAAAUCCUGUAAUCCUCGAGGGACCACCUGUGGCGAAGGCGCCUCACCAGAACGGCUUCGACAGUGAGGGACGAAAGCUGGGGGAGCAAACCGGAUUAGAUACCCGGGUAGUCCCAGCCGUAAACGAUGCGCGUUAGGUGUAUCGGUGACCACGAGUCACCGAGGUGCCGAAGGGAAACUGUGAAACGUGCCGCCUGGGAAGUACGGUCGCAAGGCUGAAACUUAAAGGAAUUGGCGGGGGAGCAC
rnacentral:rRNA from 1 species